rnacentral:rRNA from 1 species
UACGUAGGGUGCGAGCGUUGUCCGGAUUUAUUGGGCGUAAAGAGCUCGUAGGCGGCUCGGUAAGUCGAGUGUGAAAUUUCGAGGCUUAACCUCGGAACGCCACCCGAUACUGCUGUGGCUAGAGUCCGGUAGGGGAGCGUGGAAUUCCUGGUGUAGCGGUGAAAUGCGCAGAUAUCAGGAGGAACACCAGCGGCGAAGGCGGCGCUCUGGGCCGGUACUGACGCUGAGGAGCGAAAGCGUGGGGAUCAAACAGG